GAACCUGCUGAGAAAGAGAUUGGUCCAGAGAUUCAAACUCUUAUUUCUGAGCAAGUAAUGGUGGUUUUCCCACUCCCUAAUGCUGGAGCAGGUCGUGGACGUGCUCCGGCUAACUCCCAGGCAAAGGCUGAGGGCUUUAGUGACCUGAAUAACAACUCUCCUAAAUGGAAUCAAGUUCCAGUCAAGAAGAGGUCUGGAGCCAAAGGCUACACUAGUGGAACGGGUAUAGCUCCUACUGGGGUAAGGUCUAUUAGGCCUAAUUCGGGUAAGAUCAAAGAGGGAGUCUCUUUUAAGGAUGCAGCUAGAGGCGGUAUAACAAUUGGGCAGCGUAAUGAGAAUGUUGCUGGAGCCGGCCGUUUUGACCCUGAAACUCACUCUCAAGAUUUGGUGAGUGGCUUUUCUGUGUUGGGAGAGCCAAGUUCUGUCCAUUCUUUUUCUUCUUUAACUGAUAUUGUUCAUCUUAUGCAUUCUUCCUGUCUGAAUAAUCUCUUCCCCCUUCCUAUGGACCCAAAUUCUAUCUAUUCUCCUUCCUCCACGGUUGACUUUUUUAAUCAUUUUUAUGGACUUAUUCAUCACUCUCAAGAGAACUUUGAGGAUGUCUAUGAGGAGGACCAGAUGAUAAAUAACAAUGUUAUGGAUGGUGAUUAUGAUGCUAAUGGUAUGUUUGGUGUUGUGAAUGAGAAUGAUGAAAUGGAUGUGAGUGCUAGGUUUCGCAGCUCAUUAAAGAGAACCAGAGAGAUGAUCGAAGAUGAAGUGGAUUCUCAUCAGGCUAGGACCAUGGAGGUUGGCCCCUCCAAGAUGACAAACUUCUCUACUCCAAAAUGAAGAUGAUGAUUUGGAAUAGCCGGGGGAGUUCCCGAUCUGGAUUUCAGGCAUAGUUGCUCUAUUAUGCUUCUACUUUUGGUUUAGAUGUUUUUUGUGUUGUCGAUACAAGGACUUCAGAUGAUCUAGGAGCAAAACUGUUAAAUUUAUUACUUUUUGAUAACUAUUUUGUAGUGCCUGCGUAAGGCCAGUGUGGUGGCCUUUGCCUGUUUUGGAAAUCCAGUUUUAUUAAUAUGAAUGUUGUGUUUGCUCAUUAUCAGUUCAUUCACUGUUAUAUUACUGAUAUUAGUAGAAAUACUAGCUGCUUCUCUACCUUUGUUUAUGCUUACCCUCAUAAGCGUCUUCAACUGAAUCUUUGGAAGGAAAUCUCCAAGUGGAAACCUUCUAAUGAUGGUCCUUGGUUACUCAUGAGAGAUUUCAAUUGCAUUACGCACAAUUCAGAAAACUUAGGUGGUUCUGUGGACACUAACAGAUACAUGACUAAUUUUGGUGAUUUUCUAAAUAGCAAUAAUCUUUGCACAAUCCCUAGUACAGGAGUUCAUUUUACUUGGACUAACAACUAUAAAGACCAUUCUGUCAUUUAUGAAAAAUUGGAUAGGGCUUGUGCUAAUCCUAACUGGAUGAUUAGUUUCCCUGAUGUGGAGGUUGAAAAUCUCUCUAUUAUUGGCUCUGAUCAUGGUCCAAUUUAUGUUGCUUGGAAUCAUAGGAAUGUGUCCUACCAAAGAGCUUUUAAGUUUGAAGCUAUUUGGAUGUCUCAUGCUUCGUUCAAAAAGCUUGUCACGGAUUCUUGGCAAGUAGUAUUGGAUUCCAACUCUAUGAGAAAUUUUACAUCUCUGUGUGGCAAAUUUGCUACUUUGGCUAAAGUUUGGAAAAAAGAGGUGUUUGGUAAUUUUUUUCCAAAAAAUCAUUGACUUACAGGAUCAAUUGCAUGUUGUCCAGUAUCAGCUUAUGAAUAACCCCUCUUCAGUUUUGUUACAGGAAAGGAACUUAAGUAUAUCUCAUAGACCUCCAAACUCUGCAACAAGAGGAAGAGCUUUUCUGGGCUCAAAGAGCUAAGGCAAAUUGGCUAAAAACUAGGGGAUCAAAACACAAAGUAUUUUCAACUGAAGGCAAAUUUCAGGAAGAGGUUAAAUCAUAUUGCCCGAAUUAAAGACGACAACAAUUUUUGGUUAACAAACCCAAAGGAUAUCAGCAAGCACUUUGUGCAGGAUUUUAAUAAAUGUUUUAUUGUUAAUAACUUCCUUGAUAUGAAUUUUAUGCAAAGUUUUAUUAAUAUUAUCUCUCCCACUAUUUUGGAUGUAGAAAAUGAUUUGUUGACAAAACAGGUUUCUGAUGAGGAAAUUUGGGAUGCAAUCAAAACUAUCGGACCUCUAAAGGCUCCAGGUCCUGAUGGCUUACAUGCUCUCUUUUACCAAGCUUAAUGGGAAGAUGUCAAGCAUGCUGUAAGUUCUAUGAUCAAGGAUUUUUUCCAAAAUAAUACAAAUAUUGCUCUGAUUCCCAAAGUUGAUUCCCCUAAUUUGGUUUCUCAUUAUAGGCUUAUUAGUUUAUGUAAUGUUAGUUAUAAAAUAAUCUCAAAAAUUUUAGUCAACAGUCUCAGACCUCUUUUGGAUAAGUGUAUUUCUAGGAAUCAAGGUGCUUUCUCCCCGGGAAGAUCUAUUCAUGAUAAUAUCUUUAUUGCUCAUGAACUGUUUUCCGAUUUUCAAAGGAAAAAAGGUAGAGUUGGUUCCAUGGCUAUUAAGUUGGAUUUAGAAAAAGCUUAUGACUAUCUCAAUUGGAAAUAUAUUGAGACUUGUCUUUCUAAAUUUGGUUUUUCCCCUGUUUGGAUUAAAUGGAUUAUGGAAUGCAUUACAUCUGUGUCUUUCUCGGUGUUGAUUAAUGGCAAGCCUGAGGGUUUUUUCCAUCCUACUCGUGUGAUUAGACAAGGUGAUCCUCUUUCGCCAUAUAUUUUUAUUCUAUGUAUGGAACCACUAAUUAGACAUCUAAAUAUGGUCGCGGAAAAGCCAAGUAGUCAUGUGGGAAUUUUAUCUUCUUCUAAUGGUUUUAGAAUUGCUAACCUUCUUUUUGCAGAUGAUUGCCUAGUAUUUGGGAAGCUUCUUCUAAAGCUGCUAGAAACGUUCUGAGAAUCCUUAAUAAUUUUUCUGAGGCUUCUGAUCAAAGGAUUAAUUUCCAUAAAUCUUCUCUUUAUUUCUCCCCUCAGGUUCCUAAUCAAACUAGGAAUGAUAUUGUUACUAUUUUGCAGAUCCAACACAAAGCUACCAUUGGUAAGUAUUUGGGUGUCCACAACAUUGUCUUCUGGAAGGAUCCUGUUAAUGCUAAUGGUCUUCUUCAAAAAAUUAAUGAUAAGCUUGCAGGAUCGAAGAAAGGUUUGUUAUCUAGAGCUGGCAGGAUUACCCUUAUCCAAGCAAAUAUUUCUGGUAUGCCAAAUCAUAUUAUGUCGUGUUUUAAAUGUCCUGCUAAAAUUACUAAUGCUAUUGAUAAAAAAUCCCGAGACUUUUCUGGGGCUCUGAUUCUAAAUCUCAUGUUGUUGCUUGGAACAAAGCUUGCACCCCCAAGAAUGUUGGGGGUUUGGGUAUUAGACCUUCUGCUUAUUUUAAUAAUGCAGCGAUUGCUAAGUUGGGAUGGAAAGUCAUUACGGACUUUGAUAACUGGUGGGUGCAGAUUGUUACUUGAAACAGCGAUUGCUAAGUUAGGAUGGAAAGUCAUUACGGACUCUGAUAACUGGUGGGUGCAGAUUGUUACUUGAAAGUACUUACGCAGACACUCCUUUUUUCAGGGCAAACAGAAUAGAUCGGCCUCACUUGCCUAAAAGGGCAUUCUUAAUAAUAGAGAGAUUCUUUAGAAGGGAAUAAGAUGGAUAGUUGGAAAUGGUCAUGAUAUCAAUUUUUGGACCUUUAAUUGGGUUUUCCCUGUUCCUUUAGUUAAUAUGAUUUCUGAUUAUCAGAAAACUCCUAUUAAUUGGAAUGAGGUUGUUUCUGAUUAUAUCCAGGAUAGUAAUUGGAGUAGAACCAAGUUGCUAGAAUUUUUGGAUGCUUCAAUUGUGGAUCAAAUUUGUGGUAUCUCGUAUCCCUAUUCUUUCUACUAACCAACAUGAUGCUUUCAUUUGGGGCCCCCUGCCCGAAUGGUGAGUUCACUAUAAAAUCAACUACUUGGCUUCAAUCUUCAGAUCUUGAUCCUCAUGAUCAAUCUCCUCUUUUAAAGAAGGUUUAGGAGUCUAACUUGGCUUCUAAAAUAAAAAAAUUUAGCUGGCUUUAAUGUAGGGAAAGAUUAAAAACAAGGAACAUAUUAUUUAGGUUUGGUAUGAUCCAAACUAAUCUUUGUCCUCUUUGUAAUUUAGAGGAUGAAACUAUUUCCCAUAUUUUUUGCAAAUGCCCAAUUGCUGGCUAAGUUUGGACUAUUGCUCAGUGCAAUGACAUCCAUAAUGCUGAUAACCUGGUUCAAAGGUUGAAUGAUAUUUUUGUUAAUGCUCCUUUUGAUGCUACUAAGUUUGAGAGAAUUAUAACCCUUUGCUGGCAGAUUUGGCAUAAGCGCAACAACCUAAUCUUUAAAAAUGAGGUUUUCUCUACCUCUGUUGUUGUUGUUGUUGUUGCUGAUGCGUUUCAGAAUCGUAUUCAUCUUCACCAAGAGAUGGCUUCCCAGUCCCCCUUGGCUCCCUCUUCCAUCAGAUGGACUCCUCCUCCUCAAAAUAUAGUCAAAGUGAAUUUUGAUGGAUCGGUGCUUCAACAUGAUUCUAGUGCUGCUGCAGAUUUUAUUUUUCGAGACUGCUCGGAUUGCCCUUUGUUUGCUUCUGCUCGAAAGUUGGGGAAAGCCAUUGUUCCCAUUGCAGAAGCUAUGGCCCUUAGGGACAGCCUUUUAAAAGCCAACGAGUUAAACUACUCUCAUAUUAUGAUUGAAGGGGACUCUGCCCUCAUAAUUAAUUGUGUUACUGGGCGUUUCAAGUGCCCCUGAAAGCUGCUCCAAAUUAUCCAAGACAUCAAAAAGACUGCCUCUUUCUUCAGUUUGGUCUCUUUCCACCAUGUCCUUCGUGAGGCGAACUUUGCAGCUAAUGCCUUAGCAAAUCUAUGGCAAAAUCUGGAUACUCAGCAUUGUUGGGAGUCGAGCCGAGCUCUGUUAGGGUAGCAGUGAAUUUUGAUUUAUUUAGUGGUGGUUGCCCGAGGGGCGGCUCUUUGUAGUUUAGUCUUUUAGCUUCAAAAAAAAAUGUGUUUACGAAAGUUGAAGGGGCGAACUUAUUUAAAAAAAAAGUUGCAGAACUGAACUAAUUUUGACACCAAAGAUUUAUGGGGUAAACUGAAUUUUUUUCAUAUAUAUAUAUAUGUGUGUGUGUGUGUGAACUGUAUAUGCUUAUAUAAUGUUACAUAUUGAUCUUGAAAAUGAAGUUACCUUAAGAAGACUAUAUGUUUGUUUUGACUUGUUUGCAUUUGUGGUAUUUUUGACGUGUUUAUUAUUAAGAAACAAAACAAAGAUUAUAUAUACAUACAUACUAAUGAAAAUAUUUCUAUGUAUGUAUAAUAGACUACUAUAUAUCAUCAUGGUUGAUCCAAAACAAGUUGGGAAAAAAAGUGGGAAUUAUGAGCAGUAGACCAAGGAACAAAGCGAGGCUUUGUUAGAACUCAUGGUUGAAGCCGCAAUUAGGGGACGGUGUGACAUAGUGGCAUCUUAAGUAGGACAACAGUGGAAUAGAAAGAAUACUCACUAUGCCAAAAUAUUCAUCAGACGACAGACCUCUGUCGUCUGACAAUUUUUUUUAUGUCGUCUGAGGCUGUGUCGUGUGAUUGACCUCAGACGACAGUUUUCCACCGUCGUCUGAUAUAUGUUCAGACGACAUAAGUGUCGUCUGGAAGAAGCUGAAUCUGGAAGGUUUCAGAAAAAUAUGUCGUGUUAAUGGAUUACAUACAACAUAUAAAUGUCGACUGAAGCCAGAAUAAGGAAUAAAUUAAUGAUGUCUCAAUAGAAAACCAACAACAUAUAUAUGUCGUCUGAUGAAGCAAUUAUGUCAUCUGAUAGUCUAUUANNNNNNNNNNNNNNNNNNNNNNNNNNNNNNNNNNNNNNNNNNNNNNNNNNAAAGUCAAUAAACUUCAAUCUAAACUGAAAAAUAAUUACCCUAGAAUGAUGAGGACGAUGAGAGAAAGGAAACCAUACCAAGAGAAGUCGGGUUCGCAGCCUGAAAACCCAGAAAUCCGGCAGAAAACUCGAACCUUCUUGUCGUCGUUCCUCCUCCUACGGUCAGCGAUCGGAGAAACAAAGGCUAGAGGCGCAUCGGGGACCUCAAGGCGGUCCGGUCGGUGGUGGCCAAUCGCCGGGUAGCCACGGAUGGCGAGGCGGCGUCAGUGCUCGACAUCGACGUCGAGUUGGUGUCGAAGAGAGAGAUUGAGGUGGUCUAACUAGUUGACCGAGUUAGUCUCCUUACAUACUCUAGGGGUAGCGGUGGACUGAGGAGUUGGCCGGAGACCGUCCCCCGAUCGGCGAGGCAGUGGCCUAGGGAUUGAGGACCGACAUUGGGGUAGUUGCAGGUUGUUGAUUUGGGUUGGGUAUGGCUUAGUUUAAGCGGUGAAUCGAUUGGUGGAGCUGAUUGGGUGAGACGGUGGCCGGAGCUACCAUUUCCGACGCUGGCAGAGGAAAGCACAGAGAGAGAGAGAUCGAGAGAGAGAGAGAGAGAA
rnacentral:lncRNA from 1 species